rnacentral:rRNA from 1 species
UACGUAGGGUGCGAGCGUUGUCCGGAAUUAUUGGGCGUAAAGAGCUCGUAGGCGGCCUGUCGCGUCGGAUGUGAAAGCCCGGGGCUUAACCCCGGGUCUGCAUUCGAUACGGGCAGACUAGAGUGUGGUAGGGGAGACUGGAAUUCCUGGUGUAGCGGUGGAAUGCGCAGAUAUCAGGAGGAACACCAAUGGCGAAGGCAGGUCUCUGGGCCACAACUGACGCUGAGGAGCGAAAGCAUGGGGAGCGAACAGG